rnacentral:lncRNA from 1 species
CUUGCCCCUUUGCCCGCCCUCCCUGGACAUCCCAGCUUGGGCCCUGCACCCCCACCCCUCUCCUUGCUGCCCAGGGGCUCUGUUUUCUCCAGCAGGGUGGUGAGUUCCUGCAAAGGUGUGAGACUUCAGAGAACAUGUGGGCUGGGGUGGGGGAUGCCCUUUCCAAUCCAGAAAAGGCCUGGCCCCUGACGGGCUCCCUGAUGGAGCCGGAAGACCUCCAGCCUACUUGCCUGCAAGGGUGAGUCUUUCAUAAAUAAACCAGGCAACAGAUGAAGAGUGUGCAAGGAAAUUGUGAAUUCCACGUGCAACAACCCCAUCUCAGAUACUGACAUGGAGCCUGGGUCUGCAGAUAUCAGCAUUUCUAAAGCCCCCAGGCCACACCCUGGUGGAGAAAAAGGCUCUUUUUCCAGAUUAGAUUAAGGCACAAGCCUGAAAUUCAGCCUUCUGCUGCCUAGACAGCACUUCCUCCUGACGUCCCAUGGACGGGACCGCCUGGGCCACUGCCAAAGCCAUGAACAGUCAACAAUCCUCCCAUCUCUGCUCCUGGACCCCAGAAAGCUGAUAGCAGCUCCUUAUAAGUCAGGCGAUGAUGUCACGAUCGAUUCACAGCAAGAUUUUUCCUGAAAGGAAGAUGCAUGAGGCCCGGGUGGGUCAGUGUUGGUGCCGACUCCAAGUCCCAGGCAGUCUCUGGAAGAAGCCAAAGUUGGUGCUGCCCGUCUCCAGGCACCGAGUUUUAAAGGCACUCCACGGGGAUGGCUGACCCAUAGGGGAUCUUUUAGGUCCCUUGUGUGGAUCCGAAAUCUCUCUGCAGCAAGGGGCAGAAAGCCAGCUCACCAGGGUUUAAAUAAGCAAGGCAGUGGGCUGGCCAGGAAACCAGGAGGCCUCCAGGCACUAUUUGACCCCCGUCCUCCAGGGACGGCAUCUGGGCAUGGUCAUUCUGCCUCUGGGCUUUGACCCCAGCGAGCUGACUCUGUGCACUGCACAAGGCAUGAGUCUCACACUCCUGGGGAGGAAGCGUCUCUCCAUGUCCAGGUGUGAAACCUCUAGAGAGGGCUGGGCUGGGUCUCUGUGGGGCAUGGAGUUGGAAGUUUGGUCGGUAGCACUCUCCCCCACCCUGUGAAUCCAGGAAGGAGGAGGGAAGUGCGAGGUUGUUGUGGAACGGAGUGAGGGUGUGGGGACAAUGCUGGGGGCUCCUUCCCUGGGCCUCCAUCAGCGAGACCACACACUCCCUCCUGGUGGAAUCCAUGGCCUGGGGUGGGCAGGGCCUCUCUCUAUAGCAGGAUCCCACUUGCCUCACCAUGCGCCGGACCAGGAGUUCCAUUGGCAGGGCGGCCCUGUGUUCCCUGAGCAGCCCCAGAGCCCAGGCAGUGUGGUUUGGAGCGAGCUCUCAGCAGUACUGGGCGGGUGGUUGGUGGAGGUACUGCCAACAGCAAGGUGAGCUCCCCCUUUCCUGAGAUUGUGAGGUUGGGGGCACAGACACAAGGUGAGGGGCUGUGGGUUAGGCAAGGGGCAAGGGGGCAGCCCCUGGGUGCAGUGGCUUGGGCUCUCAGGAGCUGCUGGUAGCCCUAUGUUUGUAUCUCCCCCUGUUCAUCCCAGCUUCGACUCUUAGGAGAUCAAAGGUUUUAAAAGCUUGGGUAUCCCCUACCCCCUCCAGCCCCCCACCCACAUGAACACGCCUUGAUGCCUGAGCAGGGCUCUGUCUCCGUCCCUGAAAGGUAGGCAGGUGAGGAGGCAGCAGCUGUCCUGCCCCCUGAGAACUCGUGGAAGGUGGCUCUUGCCCCUCUCCUCUCCGGAGCCCUCCCCCUGUGUUGCAUGUGAAACCCCAACAUACAUGGGCUGCACCCAUCAACCAGAGUCCAGCAGCUGUCACCUGGAAAGGCCAGGACAAGCCAAAGCUGCUCGUUCCCUAACCCUGUUGUGGCAAAUGCACAAAGUGUGUUUUAUGGUCCUCAGGGAGAGGCUGGUGGCAGCAGCCGUCCAUUGUCAGGAAUGCCCCAUGUCCCUGCCAAUGGGUCUGCCACAGGAGGGACAUUAGCAUGCUUGGGAAGAUGUGUGCCAGCCCUGCUCUGAUCCAAAGGUACGCACAUCCUGGACAGGCUCGUGCCCAAGGCAGUGUGGACCAAGGCAGGGCCUCCUGCCAGAUCUGCCAACUCUCCACGCUCAGACACAGCUAUGGGAUCCCUCCAGUCCCCGCGAGACGAUGGCCAGCAGGGGAAGGACCCAGACCAGGAUGCAGGAAGGCCAAGGAGAGGCAGCAUGGGCCGCAGGGCCUCAGCCAGACCCUACAAGUCCUCCCAGCUCCUGACCCAAGUGAAAUGCACCCGCCCUGCACCUUCUUGCCACUGUGGAGGAUUUCUCCCACAGGGCUGCUGGAAGAAUGGAUUCCUUCAUCCUGUUAAUCCUGCCCGUCAGAUCCCUCCCGGAAACGUCUUCGCAGCGGAGCCAGACAGAUGCCUCUUCAGGGUUCCUGGCCUGGAUCUGCCUCUCCUGCUGGGUAGGCAGCCCAGGCAGAGAGGAAGGAGUCCCAGAGCAGCCUCUUUUCGGGCUCUCCCCUGCAGAGGAGCCUGCUGGUGGCCUUGGUGGCAGGCACGGAGCUGGGGAUCAGGGCCACCAUGUGGUGGGUAAGAGCCCACACAGGCUUCCCCCAGGAGGAGACCAUAAGAUUCUCCAUGUGAACUGUAAACAAGGCUGUCAUUGCUGUUCUUAACCAAGCAUAUUUUAAGGAGCCUUUCAGGGGACCGUGCCUGGCAGAUACCUAUAAACUGUGCGCGACAGCGUGCCAGCCAGGCAGAGCUUGGGAUGCCGUGCUCCAAACAAACCAUCACAUUUGACAGGCAAUUUCUCAAUAAACACAGUGAAAUAUUUCCCUCCAGGUGAAGGCGGCAGAUUCAUGGCCCUCCACAGACAUCCACAUGAUUCAGGACACUGAAAGGGGCUGGAGUUUAUUUCCAAUGUGGACUUGGGGACGCGGGAGAGUGGGAUGCAUGGAGAAUUUCAAUGUGCCCACAGAUCAGCUUCCGCUCAAUACGUGCAUGUCUUUCUGGGAGAGGGUCCAUUUAAACCUUCACCCAGUGCGCAGCGGAAGUCUGUGGGAAACCUCACUUUGCUCGGGUGGUUGUUGACAAAGGCUUUCCGUGCCUUGGAAGAUGCUUCCUUGGGUUCCAAAGUCAUCCUGGUUGUCCCCCCACCUGCUGCUCAGCCUUCUCAGAGCUGCCUUCAGGAAUCAGCUGGAACGUGUAUGGAGGCUAGAGAGCAAGUGGUGACGGUUAAACAACUCAUUUCCCGUCCCG